CCAACACAAUGAGAAACUGACGUCUGGCCCUGAAAACCUGGGUUAACGAGGACACAAAUGAUGGAUCUCACUCAAAUUUAACAUACUCCCAAGAUGGCAUCAUGAUUUGUAAAUGUGGUGCUUGGUUGUAUACAUGAAGACUUUGGAAGUGAAGGGACAACUAGCUGAAACAAGUGUUUCUUGAGAGCUGCCCCGUGCUCUGUGGACUGCGCCCCCAACUCUUGGAAGCCAGAUGCCAGGAACACUGCCAGCUGAGAAAACCAAUUUCUCCAGACGUUACUGCCUCUGGGGUGUACUCCCUCCACCCGAGGUAGAGAAGCCAGCGACCCACCGGUCCCUCCAGCUAUUGAAGGCGUCACCGGGUUUCUUCAGACACCCUUGCAACAAAGUAGGAAGAAGGCAUUCCACAGUAUAACCCCCCUACUUCAGAAGGUGACGCUCAUGGGGGGCUUCCACGUCAUGCCUGCCCUCUUUCUGCGCUGCCGUGUAGCAGCCGCUGCAGAGGUUGUCAGAAAGGAGAGCACUGGUCCCAU